GGCUAAAGCGAGAAAAAGCUUCCCAUUUCUAGUAUUUUCAAAGAUUAAUCUUGACAAUCUGAAUCAAAUCAUGUGAGGCCUGCGAAUACAUCCAAAAAAAAAAAAAUCUCAAACGUUUAGAUUUCAAAAGGCCUUUGACUAGAUUUCAAAAUUCCAUUUUUUUUGAAAUCUGCCCGCCCAAAAAUGAAAUCCUAGAGUUUCACUCUCUCCUAUAAAUACUCCUUAAAUUCUCAGCUCAGGGGAGGAUUUUUUUUUUUUUUUGUUUCUGAAAACAUCUAAAAAACACUACAUAUCAAAUACAUUCCUGGCACAUUUUAAAACUUUAAGAACCUUUAAUUUCUAGAAUUAUUCUCUCUAUCUCAGUGGAUUUUAGCUGUGGCACAGGUUUCGGAAUUCAUUUGUGUCUAGUUUCAAAUUUAUUCAUAACGGAAAAGAAGGAGGUUUUUUUUUUUUUUUGGAUUCAUGAAAAACUCACUCAUCUAAGAUAGUUAUAUUUUCUAUUAUCUCUCAAAGAAAAAAAAAAAGAACUUUAGCAUUUUUCACUACUCUUACUCUCUGUCCAACUCAAUCUUACUCACAAAGGAGUAGAUCUGAAGAGGACCUCAAAGCCCUUGUUCACUGCACUCGAAAAAGGUCGUUACUGCUCUCCUUUUUGCAUUUUAUCUGUUCCAAGAAUAUUUGUAUGUGGUAGUAGUAUUCUUUUAUCCUAUAAUUAGCAUACUUUGUAGAAAAGUUCAUAUGUUCAGAUCUGGUGUAUAUUAAAAACUGCUAGCAUGUGCUGAAUAUAUGUUUAAAAUGGAACAGAGAUGAUAUUUGCUUCAAUGCCUGAAAAGGACUUGCCAUACUAAUUCUUUUCUUUCGUUUUUAUGCAUGACUAUCGCAUACGGGUCAAAGGGACUCGUCUUCUUCCGCAUUCGAUGUUGGGCUAAAGCCCAACGUAACUUCUCUCGAGUCAGCCCCAUCAGCCCAUCUGCAGCAAUCUAUUAAAAAUUUCGUUGGGCCGAAGCUCAACAGCAAUGGACAGUAGCAGUCCUAAAAUGGGUUGUCAUGGAGCAUCCAAUUAUUGCCGGAGGUUUGAAGACAACCAAAAGAAAUCAGUGGAGAUGAAGUAUUAGAUAUCUUAGAAUUGUAUUAUUAACUGGCAUGUAAUAAAUUUUUAUUAUUGUAAUUAAUUUUAGGAAGAGUUGUGGAAUGAUACAUAAAAGACAUGUUUGUCCUUCAAAUGUUCGUUAGGCCUACUUCUGGCAUAAAGAGGUCCCUUGCAUUAUAGAACGCGAUGUAUUAUGUGCAAAUAAUAUGUUUAUGUGCAAUGAUAUGUCCUUACCGUA